CUCAGGACCCGCAAGGAUGCUGACGUGAGAGGGGCUGGGGCUCUCCCGAGCUUCCUAGCUCUAAACUGCGUUGGAAGUGCUCUCAUUUCCGGUCUGAUGACUUCUUGGCCCCAGGGGGUCUUGGAGGCUCUGAUGGAAGCAAACCAGGGGAAUGGGGUAACAGGCACUGAUAGUUUGGAGCCCACUGAGACCAAGACACUAGAGACAGCUCUACCCAUGCCCAAGUUGUUCUCUAUGGCCAAGACAUGGAGAUUCAGGAACUCAGAGUCCUGA
rnacentral:lncRNA from 1 species